AGAGUUUGAUCAUGGCUCAGGAUGAAUGCUAGCGGCGUGGAUAAGGCAUGCAAGUCGAGUGGGUUUAGACCCACGGCAAACGAGGUAGUAAUACGCAGGUACUCACCGAAAAGUCGAGCAUAUACCGUCGAAAGGCGGAGCAAUUCUCGAUAGUCCCUCCGGGGUAAAGGAGCAAUCCGCUUUUUGAGAGGCCUGUGGCGCAUCAGGUAGUUGGUAGGGUAAUGGCCUACCAAGCCUACGACGCGUAGGGGAGCUGAGAGGCUCGACCCCCACCGAUGGAACUGAGACACGGUCCAUACACCUACGGGUGGCUGCAGUCGAGAAUAUUUGGCAAUGGGCGCAAGCCUGACCAUGCGACGCCGCGUGGUUGAUGAAGUCCGUUCGGGAACGUAAAGUACCUUUUAUGGAGGGAGGAAGUAAUUGACGUUACCUCAUGAAUAAGGGGCUCCUAACUCUGUG
rnacentral:rRNA from 1 species